CAUCCUAAAGUCUUCAGCUAAACGCUAUAAAAGUGAAAAGGUAACAGCUAUUUUACCGACUUCACAGCGUAUAGGAUUUGUUGGUAAGACAGCUGAAAAUCUGGAGAACGUCAUAUUUGGUUUAAUGAGAUAUGGAACCAAAAAUAUAUAAAGUAGCUUAAUAUAUUCACAUAACUAUUGUUUUUUAAACCACUGAAACAAAGCCUUGCCGACAAGCCCACCAAGCAUAUCAUACAAUCAAAUAAUUUUUAUAAGUUAACCGCCGUGCCAGAAAUCGUUAAUUUUAAAAGUAAAGGAAAGUAUAAUAGCGUUAUUUAAACCAAUAUCGUAUAGGUAUUGUUAUUGUACAACAACGUAACGCUUUUACCAACUCAACCUAUCGACCUAUUAAGAAAAUACUGGAUAAUGGAAAAUGCAGCCAGCCAAACAAAGACUCUAAUAAAGAUUCCACUGUUACUAUACAUUUUAUAAUUUUGCUUUUCUUUCGCAUAGAAAAAAUUCAAUGUUAAUACAACUGCAGACUAAUCAGCUUAAAAGCUUUGCUAAAACAAGUGAAGUGCAAGUUUGUGAAUGGAUUAUACAUAUGACUGAUAUACGUCGAAAAGCUUGCUAAUGUUCAUUAAAUUGUAGCAUAGUUUUAGGCAUCAAAAUUAAAUUCGGAACCUGUACAAAAUGAGCAGCGAUAAUACAAUAAUAGCAUUGAAUGUCAAAGUAAAGGAUGAAAACAUCAAAGAAAACCACAAAAUGGUUUUGGGUGACCGUAAAAUUAAGUUGAUCCAAAUAGCUCACACUCUAAAGUUAUCAAAAGGAUUUGUUGGACAUUCGUGAUUAUUUUGGUGAUCAACCAACCAAGAACAGCAUCGAAUUGAUGACAUUUCCAGCCAUUCAAUAGUAAUAAAUUUGAGGUUUUGCGUCAAUGCACCUCCGAGUUCAAUCAGCUCAUAUCAUAGUGAACUCCGCGCGAUAAUCUCGAAGAGAACUCUUUUAUUUCAUCAAGGCAAAGCCCAGUGUCACAAAUUAAUGAAAACUAUGUGAAAAUUGUAUAAAUUGGGCCUCCACAACCACACAAUAAUAAUUGAGACUGUAACAGAGGAGUAAUUUAAAAUAAAUUUCGUAACUGAUGUACUCUGUAGCAAUAUGUUGCGAGAAUAUACAAAGUGGAAGAUCGAAGUAAUCGGUGAUUCCUGUAUUUAUAAUAAAACUGAAUUUUUCUGAAACCAAGUCAACUACAGCUAAUACUGCACAUCCAAUACUCCAUAAUUUAACUUAAUGAUUCGCAGCUACGAUGUCCUUUCAUAGAGGUGGGAAGUGUUAAUGAAGUCAGUGGUACCUACAACCCGAUAAGUUUCAAUGAAACCGAAAUACUAAAGUAAAAGUCAACGAAGCUCAGCUUUAUACUGCAUUUGAGAUCAGAACCAUUGAAAGCCGCACUCUCAAUUAUCUGUAAGAGGACACUGUAUGCGUAUAGCAGAUGCAACUCAAGGUGCAAUUGACAUUUAGAACACUCUUGCAUCUAUGGAAACACCCUUUAAAAUGUCACCAAAAGAUUUUGAAGAGAUCCACCGCGAUUAAGCCGAAAAUCCACAGCGAAAUUGGAGCUCCGAAAGCCACAUUACCCUUACAUUAUCGAUGAAUUCAAAUUGUUCAUAAAGCCUUGUCAUAUAACUAUAUAAAUUUGAAGUAAAUAAGUCUCUUCCUGUACCUAUUUCCAUUCGAAAUAAAUAAGCGCAAUUGUUUUUGUUUUUAUGUUUUUUUAAAUACAUUUUGUUUUAUUAAAUCGAAGAAAAAAACACAUUUUCUCAAAUCUAACCAAACAUUUUUACAUUUUUUUCAUGUAUUAUUAAAGUAAACAUUAAAUAAAAACUAAUAACUAAAAUAAAAAAUUAUAAAAAAGUGAACGAAAUAUAAUUAAGGAAACAAAAACGUCAAAUAGUACAUAUAUAUAUAUAUAUA